rnacentral:lncRNA from 1 species
UUGGAUCGGCGGCGAUCGCCUCCAGAUACGUCUCCUCCGCCGCCCAAAGGUCCUUCUUCGCCACCCACAGAAAGCUCGCAUAUUUGUUGUACGCCUCCGCAUCCGGCGGCUCCACCGCUAUCGCUCUUUUGAAGUACUCCUCCGCUCUGUGAAUAAGCAAAGAAAAAUUAAGGUCAACAAUCAACACCACGUGAGAAGUUCGUGACUGAUUCCACUUCUUUCUUCUUCUUCUAUGAACGGGUAACCACACACGUCUCUAUCGGAGAUUUGGAAAAAGACUACAAAUCUUUUGACUCGUAGAAUGGGCACCGACUUAACUCGGCAAUGGAGGAGGGUGACGCGACUUUUACCUGUCAUAG